rnacentral:rRNA from 1 species
ACGGAGGUCCCUAGCGUUGUUCGGAAUUACUGGGCUUAAAGCGCGUGUAGGCGGAACGGUGAGUACCUUGUGAAAUCCCCGGUCUCAAGCCGGGAACUGCUCGGUAUACUAUCGUUCUUGAGGCAGGUAGGGGUCACUGGAACCUUAGGUGGAGCGGUGAAAUGCGUAGAUAUCUAAGGGAACGCCUGUGGCGAAAGCGGGUGACUGGGCCUGUCCUGACGCUGAGACGCGAAAGCGUAGGGAGCAAACGG